rnacentral:rRNA from 1 species
GACGAACGCUGGCGGCGUGCCUAAUACAUGCAAGUCGAGCGCAGGAAACUGACGGAACUCUUCGGAGGGAAGGCAGCGGAAUGAGCGGCGGACGGGUGAGUAACACGUAAGGAACCUGCCUCAAGGAUUGGGAUAACUCCGAGAAAUCGGAGCUAAUACCGGAUAGUUCAUCGGACCGCAUGGUCCGUUGAUGAAAGGCGCUCCGGCGUCACCUUGAGAUGGCCUUGCGGUGCAUUAGCUAGUUGGUGGGGUAACGGCCCACCAAGGCGACGAUACAUAGCCGACCUGAGAGGGUGAUCGGCCACACUGGGACUGAGACACGGCCCAGACUCCUACGGGAGGCAGCAGUAGGGAAUCUUCCACAAUGGACGAAAGUCUGAUGGAGCAACGCCGCGUGAGUGAUGAAGGUUUUCGGAUCGUAAAACUCUGUUGUAAGGGAAGAACACGUACGAGAGGAAAUGCUCGUACCUUGACGGUACCUUACGAGAAAGCCACGGCUAACUACGUGCCAGCCGCCGCUGUAA